AUUGAACGCUGGCGGCAUGCUUUACACAUGCAAGUCGAACGGUAACAGGCCGCAAGGUGCUGACGAGUGGCGAACGGGUGAGUAAUGCAUCGGAACGUGCCCAGUCGUGGGGGAUAACGCAGCGAAAGCUGCGCUAAUACCGCAUACGAUCUGUGGAUGAAAGCGGGGGACCGUAAGGCCUCGCGCGAUUGGAGCGGCCGAUGUCAGAUUAGGUAGUUGGUGAGGUAAAGGCUCACCAAGCCGACGAUCUGUAGCUGGUCUGAGAGGACGGCCAGCCACACUGGGACUGAGACACGGCCCAGACUCCUACGGGAGGCAGCAGUGGGGAAUUUUGGACAAUGGGGGCAACCCUGAUCCAGCAAUGCCGCGUGCAGGAAGAAGGCCUUCGGGUUGUAAACUGCUUUUGUACGGAACGAAACGGCUCUGGUUAAUACCCGGAGCUAAUGACGAUACCGUAAGAAUAAGCACCGGCUAACUACGUGCCAGCCGCCGCAGUAACAC
rnacentral:rRNA from 1 species